rnacentral:rRNA from 1 species
GACGAACGCUGGCGGCGUGCCUAACACAUGCAAGUCGAGCGAGUGAAUCUCCUUCGGGAGUGAAGCUAGCGGCGGACGGGUGAGUAACACGUGGGCAACCUGCCUCAUAGAGGGGAAUAGCCUUUCGAAAGGAAGAUUAAUACCGCAUAAGAUUGUAGCUUCGCAUGAAGUAGCAAUUAAAGGAGCAAUCCGCUAGGAGAUGGGCCCACGGCACAUUAGCUAGUUGGUGAGGUAACGGCUCACCAAGGCGACGAUGCGUAGCCGGCCUGAGAGGGUGAUCGGCCACAUUGGGACUGAGACACGGCCAAGACUCCUACGGGAGGCAGCAGUGGGGAAUAUUGCACAAUGGGGGAAACCCUGAUGCAGCAACGCCGCGUGAGUGAUGACGGCCUUCGGGUUGUAAAGCUCUGUCUUCAGGGACGAUAAUGACGGUACCUGAGGAGGAAACCACGGCUAACUACGUGCCAGCCGCCGCGGUAACAC